rnacentral:rRNA from 1 species
UACGGGGGGGGCAAGCGUUGGUUCGGAAUUACUGGGCGUAAAGGGCUCGUAGGCGGCCAACUAAGUCCGACGUGAAAUCCCAAGGCUUAACCUUGGAACUGCGUCGGAUACUGGAUGGCUUGAAUUCGGGAGAGGGAUGCGAGAAUUCCAGGUGUAGCGGUGAAAUGCGUAGAUAUCUGGAGGAACACCGGUGGCGAAGGCGGCAUUCUGGACCGGCAUUGACGCUGAGGAGCGAAAGCCAGGGGGAGCAA